rnacentral:lncRNA from 1 species
CAAUCAGUAAGCAAGAUUUUGCCAAAUGCUUCCAGGUGGCACUUGAUGAGAUGAUAUGCUACACCCUGUAAACACAUGCAAGUCUUCAGGAAACAGCCUCGAAUAUUUAAAGGUUCUCUGCUCAUGAAGCAAGUGAGAUGGUCCAUGACUUUUGGAGGGAGCAGCAGGGCCUCCAGAUCCCUGGGCUCAGAGAAGAGGAGCCAUCUUGGAACUGGAUUCUGUGUCUAAGUUCCCCAUUGUUUGACUGAUCUUGGGCACCUGGAUUUACUCUGCUCUUAACUGCUCUGUGGACUUCUGGAAGCUCCUGUUCCUGUCUUGGACUCACAUACAACUCCCAGUUAUGAUUCAGUUCUCCCAGACUCAUCAUUUCAUUCCUCGUCCUCUUUCAUGCUUAAGUAAUGUGUAAAUUUUUACUUUGACCCUUGACUAGACCCUGCUUCCAUCCAUCUAUCUUUCUUUCUUUCUCUCUCUCUCUCUCUUUCUCUCUCUCUCUCUCUCUUUCUUUUCUUUCAUCCUCCAACCAGAUUUAUUGAACAUAACACAAUUGUAUAUACAAGGUGACCUGGAUCUGCUGCCUCAAAACAUGAACCGUUCUUUCUUACUUAGGAACUUACUCUAAAAUUAAUAGAAAAGUGCCCAAUGAAGACUAAAUACAUGGGGCCUAACCCCUGGGAGUUUAAUAGUUCUAUAAGAUAAUUAAUAUAGGUAGGAUCAAGUCCCUACGACAGGCUGCUGGAGAACUGACAGAAGAUGUCAGGAGGCCAUUUUGUGCUCUGCCACUGUGAUGCCAUCAUGUUUCUGGAUCAUAAUGUUCCCAUUAUCUGAUUCCAGACACACCACAGGAAUUAGUGGGGGCUGCACUUAGCUUAGCUGUUUGCUGGGCUAGAACAGGUGUCACUCCAGCGCACUCAUCUGACAGGGACCCAUGGCACCCUAGAUUAGGACCUUGUGAAUCUGUGCACAGGACUCCAACAAUGGCUGGAUUCUUCACCGGGUCCUCCAAGUGUUGCGCCAAGGUCUACUCCAUCCUGCCUGCUGUCCACCCACCCCUACCCUGCUUCCAGCUGUAUGUACUUAGUUGUCCAUAAACCAAGGUCUCACAAUAUCCAAACACCUCCUGGAUUAGGUAAUAUUAUCUAAGAUGUUAGCCCCAAAUAUCUUACUUUAUGUUGCCCAUGGCAGGUACAGGAUUACAACAGAUUUCAUGAUUUAAAUUCUUUCUCAUUGAUUGCCUCUGGAGAAAGGAACAGGGUGGCAAAAAAUAAAACCUGGUUUCAAAUGAAGCAAAAAAAAAAUAAUUUGAAAUGUAACUAUUUCUAAGAAAUCCCGUGUUUGGC